CAUGUCUUUUUGAUUAUAAUUUAAAGUCGGGUCUGCUCAAUGAUUAUUUAAAUUGCCGCAGUAUUAUAACUGUGCAAAGGUAGCAUAAUAAUUAGUUUCUUAAUUAGAAGCUUGAAUGAAGGAUUUGACAAGAGAAUUGCUGUCUCUUUUUUAUUAAAUAGAACUUUAAUUUUAAGUUCAAAUGCUUAAAUUUUUUUAAAAGACGAGAAGACCCUAUAGAGUUUUAUAUUAUAGUUUGUUUUGGCUAUUCGAAAAUAAUAAUUUUUUAUAAUAUUUGAUUGGGGUGAUUAGAAGAUUUAAUUAAUUCUUUUAUGUUUAAAUUGAUGAUUAUUAAACUAUUUAUCUUGUUUUUUAAAGAUUAAAUAAAUUACCUUAGGGAUAACAGCGUAAUUUUUUUAUAAAGUUCUUAUUGAAAAAAAAGUUUGCGACCUCGAUGUUGGAUUAAAAUUAAUUUUUGGCGUAUAAGCUUAAGGAUUAGGUCUGUUCGACCUUUAAAAUU
rnacentral:rRNA from 1 species